rnacentral:rRNA from 1 species
AGUGAACGCUGGCGGCAGGCCUAACACAUGCAAGUCGAACGGCAGCACAGUAAUAGCUCGUGCUUUCGGGGGGCGAGUGGCGGAUGGGGGAUGAAAAUAUCCGAAUCAACUUGUUCGAGGGGGAUAAAGCAGGGGAACAUACGGUAAUACCGCAUACGACCUACGUGUGAAAGCAUGGGAUCUUCGGACCUCGCGCGAUCGUAUGACGCGAUGUCGGAUUAGCUAGUUGGCGGGGUAAAGGGCUACCAAGGCGACGAUCCGUAACUGGUCUGAGAGGAUGAUCAGUCACACUGGAACUGAGACACGGUCCAGACUCCUACGGGAGGAAGCAGUGGGGAAUAUUGGACAAUGGGCGAAAGCCUGAUCCAGCCAUGCCGCGGGUGUGAAGAAGGUCUUCGGAUUGUAAAGCACUUUAAGUUGGGAGGAAGGGCAGGAAGUUAAUACCUUGCUGUUUUGACGUUACCAAAAGAAUAAGCACCGGCUAACUUCGUG